rnacentral:lncRNA from 1 species
CCUGUGCUUUCUAAGACUCCAUGGAUGUUAUAGAGUAGAAUGUCUAGUGAUGGGAUUAGGAUCUUUCCUUUAGUGCCGAUCUAUUACUGUUGAGAUCUGAUCCAACUAGGUUAUCGAACUAACUGAUAUGUUGGAUAGCUCGACAAGAUGAUGAAUAGAUCAAUGGAGUUGGCCAGAGAUCUCAAUGCACCUCUUAGGAUAUUGAAUUAUGGUUGCUAGAACUUAGAUAUAGUAACAAUUGGGUUGUUCGAGCCUGAUCGAUAGUAG